rnacentral:rRNA from 1 species
AGAAUCAACGCUGGCGGCGUGCCUAACACAUGCAAGUCGAACGCGAAAGCCCCGCGAGGGGUAAGUAGAGUGGCAAACGGGUGAGUAACACGUGGGUGACCUGCCUUCGAGUGGGGGAUAACGUCCCGAAAGGGACGCUAAUACCGCAUGAUAUCCUGCCUUUGGAAAGGUGGAGAUCAAAGCUGGGGAUCGCAAGACCUGGCGCUUGAAGAGGGGCCCGCGCCUGAUUAGCUAGUUGGUGGGGUAACGGCUCACCAAGGCUACGAUCAGUA